rnacentral:rRNA from 1 species
GUGAAACUGCGAAUGGCUCAUUAAAUCAGUUAUCGUUUAUUUGAUAGUACCUUACUACUUGGAUAACCGUGGUAAUUCUAGAGCUAAUACAUGCUGAAAACCCCAACUUCGGGAGGGGUGUAUUUAUUAGAUAAAAAACCAAUGCCCUUCGGGGCUUCUUGGUGAUUCAUAAUAACUUCUCAGAUCGCAUGGCCUUGCGCCGGCGACGGUUCAUUCAAAUUUCUGCCCUAUCAACUUUCGAUGGUAAGGUAUUGGCUUACCAUGGUUUCAACGGGUAACGGGGAAUUAGGGUUCGAUUCCGGAGAGGGAGCCUGAGAAACGGCUACCACAUCCAAGGAAGGCAGCAGGCGCGCAAAUUACCCAAUCCCGACACGGGGAGGUAGUGACAAUAAAUACUGAUACAGGGCUCUUUUGGGUCUUGUAAUUGGAAUGAGUACAAUUUAAACCUCUUAACGAGGAACAAUUGGAGGGCAAGUCUGGUGCCAGCAGCCGCGGUAAUUCCAGCUCCAAUAGCGUAUAUUAAAGUUGUUGCAGUUAAAAAGCUCGUAGUUGAACCUUUGGCCUGGCUGGCAGGUCCGCCUCACCGCGUGUACUUGUCCGGCCGGGCCUUCUUUUCUGGAGAACCGCAUGCCCUUCACUGGGUGUGUUGGGGACCAGGACUUUUACUUUGAAAAAAUUAGAGUGUUCAAAGCAGGCCUUUGCUCGAAUACGUUAGCAUGGAAUAAUAGAAUAGGACGUGCGGUCCUAUUUUGUUGGUUUCUAGGACCGCCGUAAUGAUUAAUAGGGACAGUCGGGGGCAUCAGUAUUCAAUUGUCAGAGGUGAAAUUCUUGGAUUUAUUGAAGACUAACUACUGCGAAAGCAUUUGCCAAGGAUGUUUUCAUUAAUCAGUGAACGAAAGUUAGGGGAUCGAAGACGAUCAGAUACCGUCGUAGUCUUAACCAUAAACUAUGCCGACUAGGGAUCGGGCGGUGUUUCUAUUUUGACUCGCUCGGCACC